rnacentral:rRNA from 1 species
UACGAAGGGGGCUAGCGUUGCUCGGAAUUACUGGGCGUAAAGCGCACGUAGGCGGCUUCUUAAGUCGGUGGUGAAAUCCUGGAGCUCAACUCCAGAACUGCCUUCGAUACUGGGAGCUCGAGUCCGGGAGAGGUGAGUGGAACUGCGAGUGUAGAGGUGAAAUUCGUAGAUAUUCGCAAGAACACCAGUGGCGAAGGCGGCUCACUGGCCCGGUACUGACGCUGAGGUGCGAAAAGCGUGGGGAGCAAACAGGG